GAGACACCCUUCUGGGGCAAGACUUGCUUCAGUGGGGCUUUGGUGCUCACUGUGUCUGCCCCCUGAGUGUGUCCCU
rfam:Myotis lucifugus cont2.5549, whole genome shotgun sequence.